UGUAUUUGUUUAUUCCCGUCUUCUAUUGGCUAAAAAAACCCUCAUCUCCCGUUAGCUUACUUCUGGCUGAAACAAAAUUUCUUGCGAGAGUUGUUGCAAAGAGGUUUCCAUUACUGCUCCAACGGACUUCUUCUUCUGUGGUGCUCUAUCUCUAUCUGUUAAUUUGUUGUUAGUUCUGUCUUUUCUAGCACUCGAUCUUGGACUGGGCUUUGAUGGGUCUUUGGUUUCGGUUUUGGUUAUUUCGUUUGAUUCAUCUAGUUUGACACGGUCUGGCCAGCGGAAGUGUAUAGAUCCUUCGGAUUCUCCUACAAGUUUGUCUCGAGUAGAAUCUGCAAAAUGGAGUGAUUUAGUCUCAACAGGUUAUUUUCCAGAAGUUGAACCAGUGGAAGUGAGAAUUUUGGGUAAUAUGAAUUUGGUUGUUGUAUGUGGAAGUUUUAAUCACUGCCUGGAAUAAACUGAGAAACCUAAAAAUCUUUCAAGUCGGUUGUAGUUGAGUUCGGUUCAGUUUUAGUCCGGACUCUGGAUAAUAUAUAAACACAUUUGGUCUGUUUCUGGCUGAGAAAUUAAGAACCUGAAGACCAAAUUGAUCCAAGUUGGUAGAAUUUGGUUUCGUAUGACAUUUGAUUCAUCUUCUGUUUGGUUUUUAAGAAGAUGGGCCAUUAUUACCCAUUCUCCGGUUAAUUUAUUGAAUCAUAGUUUAAGAAGUGCUUAAUCUUUGAAUCUCGGAGCUGAUAUACAGUACUGUUAAAUCCGAAGUGAAGCGGGCUAUUUCCGACAUCCAAAAUGAGCUUCAGGGUGCUAUCAGGAGGAAUAAUCCAACUACCGAUGCAGUCGAGUUUGUGUCAGACAUACAACAUGAAUAUGCUACAAAACUCGAGCUGUCCCAGGAACGUGCCAGACAACUUCGAGCCGACCUAGCUGUAGAGGAACACCGGGGCAUGGAGCUUAGUAGGAGAAUCCGAAGGAUCUAUACACUUCCGCUUGGAGGACCCAAUAGUAGCGUUAAUAUGCAUUUAUUAAAUUAAUAAACGAUGUACCACUUCAACAUAAUUAAAACUCAUUUCGAGAAAUAAGA